UACGGAGGGUGCAAGCGUUAUCCGGAUUCACUGGGUUUAAAAGGGUGCGUAGGAGGGCAUGGUAAGUCAGUGGUGAAAUUCCCCAAGCUUAACUUGGGAACUGCCAUUGAUACUAUCUGUCUUGAAUACCGUGGAGAUGAGCGGAAUAUGUCAUGUAGCGGUGAAAUGCUUAGAUAUGACAUAGAACACCAAUUGCGAAGGCAGCUCGUUCACAAUAUGACUCUGAGGCACGAAGCGUGGGGAUCGAAACAGGA
rnacentral:rRNA from 1 species